UGAACAUGGUUUCNACCCCUCCCGUCUGC
rnacentral:piRNA from 1 species